GCAUAUCAAUAAGCGGAGGAAAAGAAACCUACAGGGCAUGCCCUAGUAACGGCGAGUGAAGCGGCAACAGCUCAAAUUUGAAAGCUAGCCUUCGGGUUCGCAUUGUAAUUUGUAGAGGAUGCUUUGGGUGAAACGCCAGUCUAAGUUCCUUGGAACAGGACGUCAUAGAGGGUGAGAAUCCCGUAUGUGACUGGAAAUGUUAACCUAUGUAAAGCUCCUUCGACGAGUCGAGUUGUUUGGGAAUGCAGCUCUAAAUGGGAGGUAAAUUUCUUCUAAAGCUAAAUAUUGGCGAGAGACCGAUAGCGCACAAGUAGAGUGAUCGAAAGAUGAAAAGCACUUUGGAAAGAGAGUUAAAAAGCACGUGAAAUUGUUGAAAGGGAAGCGCUUGCAAUCAGACUUGUUUAAACUGUUCGGCCGGUCUUCUGACCGGUUUACUCAGUUUGGACAGGCCAGCAUCAGUUUCGGCGGCCGGAUAAAGGCAUUGGGAAUGUGGCCUCCACUUCGGUGGAGGUGUUAUAGCCCAGUGUGUAAUACGGCCAGCCGGGACUGAGGUCCGCGCUUCGGCUAGGAUGCUGGCGUAAUGGUUGUAAGCGACCCGUCUUGAAACACGGACCAAA
rnacentral:rRNA from 1 species